CCUACGGGUGACAGCAGUGAGGAAUAUUGGUCAAUGGGCGCGAGCCUGAACCAGCCAAGUAGCGUGAAGGAUGACUGCCCUACGGGUUGUAAGCUUCUUUUUAAAAGGAAUAAAGUGAGGCACGUGUUCCUUUUUGUAUGUCCUUUAUGAACAAGGCUCGGCUAACUCCGUGCCAGCAGCCGCGGUAAUACGGAGGAUCCGAGCGUUAUCCGGAUUUAUUGGGUUUAAAGGGAGCGUAGAUGGGUUGUUAAGUCAGUAGUGAAAGUUUGCGGCUCAACCGUAAAAUUGCAAUUGAUACUGGCAGUCUUGAGUGCAGUUGAGGUAGGCGGAAUUCGUGGUGUAGCGGUGAAAUGCUUAGAUAUCACGAAGAACUCCGAUUGCGAAGGCAGCUUACUAAACUGCCACUGACAUUGAUGCUCGAAAGUGUGGGUAGCAAACAGGAUUAGAUACCCGAGUAGUC
rnacentral:rRNA from 1 species